AGACUCUGGAGAGCGAUCUCCUCUGAGCCCACCGGCGUCAUAAACCUGAGUUCUCCAACUCUCCAAGUGCUCGCUUGGUUUCUCGCCGGGUCAAAGAGCUGAUCCACUGCAGCCACAGAGCUGCUGGAGCUGGGACACGACAGCCACAGGGCUGUCGCCAGAACUGAUACGCUGCGGCCCAGGGCUUCUGGGCAGCUGCCAUAACACUGCCACGAGCAGAGGAAAGAGAAGUUGGGCCACGAGCAGGAAAAAGUGCAACUACAGACGGCGGAGACGGUAGCAUUGCACUCGACGGAAUCGCAACCAAACAGUGGCUACACCUUUUUGGAAUCCUGGCAGGUGUGUGAAACUGGCAUGGAAGAAGACCGACCAGGACAUGCGCCUUCCGACGAAUGAACUGGGAGCCUGGGGUCUGUACAAUGCUCCAUUUUAUAAGCCAGGCUUCCCCUGACAGGUGAAAACUACAAAAAUUAGAACAGGGCCCACACACCCCAUUCCUGGUCUUACUUGACAUGGCCUUUAAGGUCUCAGGGAAGAGGCUUGUAAGUAUUGAGGGAAAUUUUUUCCGACCCUAAAGGAACAAAGUCAUCCUCUAGGAACUAGCCCGUGCCUUUGAGAUGCAAAUGUCUUACCUGACCUUCUGAAAUCCUUCUCUCACCAUCUUUUUGAAAUACAAAUUUCAGGAAAAGGGUCUAAGUUGGAAGUUGAAUUCUCAGGGACAAAGAAGUCCUAUGUCUUUUUCAUAAGCAUUAUUAAAAGGGGGGUUAGCCAUCUAGACAGGUGACAAUGAUUUAUUCCAUCUGCCAGAAACCCAGUUUGAACCCAGUGUCUCAUGUAACUGACAGGUUUUAUACAGAUGUACCUUAUUCAUGGCUGAAACUUCGAAAUGGGAAAUAUGAGGUCUCUGUUUUGCUUGUUUGUACAUGUCUUUGUGUGUGUUAUGUAUGUAUGGCAUUGCCAAAAUUAAUUCUUAAAAGAGCUCAACUUAAUUGGCUUAAAGGAAAUUAAGCACUUACAUAAAUUCUCAAAAUACAUAAGGUAAAUUUUUGGUUCAUGUGAACUGGAAAAUACUCAGUAUUUGAUAUUCAUUUUUAGAUGUUAAUAUUGAAAUUAAAAUUUGUUUUUUUACUUUUAUUUUUUUGUUUUAGGGCCACACCCGAGGCAUAUGGAAUUUCCCUGGUGUGGGGUCUAAAUCAGCUGUGGCUGCUGGCCUAAACCACAGCCACAGUAACAUGGGAUCUGAGCCUGCAACCUACACCACGGCUCACAGCAGUGCUGGAUCCUUAACCCACUGAGUAAGGCCAGGGAUCGAACCUGCAUCCUCAUGGAUCCUAGUCGGGUUCAUUAACUGCUGAGCCACGAAGGGAACUCCAAGAUUAAAUUUUGUUGAUCUAAUUAAUAUAGACAUGUCUUUAGAGUCAUCGACAUAAGUAUAAUACCUAUUGUACCUAAGUUUGAUAAAAGUCAAAUGAGAUACUGAGACUUCAGUUACAAAACAGAGAAACUGAAGUCAUUUAAGACUAUUAAUCGGUAUGUUCAGUGCCAUCCUGAGAUGUUCAACAAGAAAGCGCAUGCCUGUAGAAACGAUAAAAGACAGUCCAUGGUUGCUUCAGAAUGUAGGAAAAGUGCCGGAGGCCAGCUCCAGCAACCAGGUCUGGCAGCCAGGGUGUAUACAUCCCGAUGGGAGAUGAGAUGGGAGAUGAACGGCGUUGGCUUUUGCAACGGAGACAGCCUCUUUGUCCCUUCUCUCAGGGCGCUGGACUGCUCAAAUUUUAUUAGCGUAAGUGGUUGAUUAUAUAGGCAGUUUUUUUAUUACAGAUUACAUCAUAGUGUUAAAAGUACAUUGGUUAACUAUUAGGCUUUGUUUUUUGAUCACAUGGUACAGUAGCAAUACAUCAUGUUUUAAAAUCUUCAGUUUAACUAAAUUUAGUGAGUACAAUUCAAGGACAAACAGGCACAGGAUAUCAUAUGGGAAAGAGGAGACCCAGUACAAACCAUCUCAUGGCCAGCCAGUUCCCACAAGCUGAAGAAAUUACAGACACAAAAAACUCAUCUUCAGACUAGUGUCUAUCUUUAAAGUGUCCUUGGCAGGGAAACAGUAUGAGAAAAUACAAAUCAACUUAGCUGCUACCGCUAAAAUUUUCUAAAGUCAAGGACAAAACUCACAGCUGGGUUUCUUUUGAUGAAGAAUAAUAUAUGUCUAACUUCUAUAGACCUCAUUAAAAUCCUAAUUCUAAAGUUUACUGUAUAACUAGUUAGUAGAUAAACACGAUGUUUUAAUUAAGUUGGAUUUAAAUAGGGGAAAGUCCUUCAGGAUGAAAUUCUUAUAUUAUUUUUGUAAUUUUGUUGAAGCACAAACCAAAUCACCACAGGAAAAUAAGAAUGGUAAAUAAGAAUAAUAAGCAAAUAAUCAGGAAAGACUGAGGAAAAACUGAAUAACAAAACAACAGGAAAGACUAGGUCACCGAGAAACAAUGCAUGUUCCCCGGUGCAAACAUGGAAAUUGUUUCCCAGGAAAGCCCCAAUUCUUCCCCAUCAACAUCAAAAUGAGAGCCCUGUAACCUGAGGCCUGCCCUCGGCUUGUACUGUUCAGGCAGGCUUCUAUCCUGACCAGAAGCCCACCUUCGGCAUGUACCCUUCAGGUGAGCUCCCUUCCUUGGUUAGGAACCUGCCUUCAGGUUUUUCUGCCGACAGGCAAGGUCCUUUUUUCUGAUUAGGAACCUGCCCUCGGUUUUGCAAGUACAGGCAAGCUCCCUUCCUUGGCUUCUUGUAUCUUCUCGGCUCCCCACAGAAAAAAGUAAGCUAGUUGCAAAACUUGAAUUUGAAUUCGGUCUCUCUGUUAAAACAAGAUUUUUUUGAAAUGCUGCUUUUGAUAACAGAUUAUAUGAAUUUCUUUGCCUUGAAUUUGUAUUUGCUUUUGAAAUCCUUUGUUACGUUGGUUGAAUGAAUAAGUAAUGUGAAACAAUAAUCUAUGAUUCUAUCUGACCAGGGAUUUUUAAACUUUUCCUUGUGUGUUUUUCUUUUCUUUCUUACUUUCUUUUUUUUUUUUUUUUUUUACAAACCAAGUGUAAAUUACAGGGGA
ensembl:lncRNA